rnacentral:rRNA from 1 species
CGUCUACGAGUUUGAUCCUGGCUCAGAUUGAACGUUGGCGGCAUGGAUUAGGCAUGCAAGUCGCGCGAUAAGAUUCCUUCGGGAAUCCGAAAGCGGCGAAAGGGAGAGUAACGCGUAGAUGAUCUACCCCGAGGACUGGGAUAGCGGCGGGAAACUGCCGGUAAUACCAGAUGAUGUCUCCGGACCAAAGGUGUGAUUCCGCCUUGGGAUGAAUCUGCGUCCUAUUAGCUAGUUGGUGAGGUAACGGCUCACCAAGGCGAAGAUGGGUACCGGGUGUGAGAGCAUGACCCGGCUCACUGGGACUGAGACACUGCCCAGACACCUACGGGUGGCUGCAGUCGAGAAUCUUCGGCAAUGGGCGAAAGCCUGACCGAGCAAUGCCGCGUGCGGGAUGAAGGCCUUCGGGUUGUAAACCGCUGUCAGUGGGGAGCAAGUUCCAUAAGGCUAUCCUUAUGGAUUGAGCAAUCCGCAGAGGAAGUACGGGCUAAGUUCGUG